AAAUCAUAAUGUGGACAACUAUUGAGCAAAUUCUUGAAUCGUUUCCAACAAUCAUACAAAGUUUCAUUCUCUUAUUGAAGAAACUCUAUUAUAUCAUUCCUCAACUU